rnacentral:sRNA from 1 species
GCGUUUCGCGCGCUCGCUGCGGGCGAGCCAGCCUCUUCCCUUACUCACCGGUGUCCGGAAAGGUGAACGCUGCGCUCGGGCUGCCUCGCCUGUUACCUCCGCCGCCGGGCAUGCUCAGCGUCUGCAGCUGCCGGACCAGCUCCGGCAUGCGGUCCCAGUGGCCCUCGGCGCGGCAGCGCUCCAGCUCGCUCUCCACCUUCAGGAAGGGAGUGAACAGGCACCACUAAUGAGCGAAGAUGAACUGAUUAACAUAAUAGAUGGUGUUUUGAGAGAUGAUGACAAGAACAAUGAUGGAUACAUUGACUAUGCUGAAUUUGCAAAAUCACUGCAGUAGAUGUUAUUUGGCCAUCUCCUGGUUAUAUACAAAUGUGACCCGUCAUAAUGUGAUUGAACACUUUCGUAAUGCAAAAUAACUCAUUUCCAACUACUGCUGCAGCAUUUUGGUAAAAACCUGUAGCGAUUCGUUACACUGGGGUGAGAAGAGAUAAGAGAAAUAAAAGAGAAGAGAAAUGGGACAUCUAAUAGUCCCUAAGUGCUAUUAAAUACCUUAUU